UACGUAGGGUGCGAGCGUUGUCCGGAAUUAUUGGGCGUAAAGAGCUUGUAGGCGGUUUGGCGCGUCUGCUGUGAAAAUCCGGGGCUCAACCCCGGACUUGCAGUGGGUACGGGCAGACUAGAGUGUGGUAGGGGAGACUGGAAUUCCUGGUGUAGCGGUGAAAUGCGCAGAUAUCAGGAGGAACACCGAUGGCGAAGGCAGGUCUCUGGGCCACUACUGACGCUGAGAAGCGAAAGCAUGGGGAGCGAACAGG
rnacentral:rRNA from 1 species